GAUGAACGCUAGCGGCAGGCUUAAUACAUGCAAGUCGAGGGGCAGCAUGACUGUAGCAAUACAGUUGAUGGCGACCGGCAAACGGGUGCGGAACACGUACAGAACCUUCCUUUAAGUGGUGAAUAGCCCAGAGAAAUUUGGAUUAAUACACCGUAAGAUAUAGAGUUGGCAUCAAUUUUAUAUUAUAGCUCCGGCGCUUAAAGAUGGCUGUGCGGCUGAUUAGGUAGUUGGCGGGGUAACGGCCCACCAAGCCUACGAUCAGUAACUGGUGUGAGAGCACGGCCAGUCACACGGGAACUGGGACACGGGCCCGACUCCUACGGGAGGCAGCAGUAAGGAAUAUUGGUCAAUGGACGCAAGUCUGAACCAGCCAUGCCGCGUGGAGGAUGAAGGUCCUCUGGAUUGUAAACUUCUUUUCUCUGGGGCGAAAACCUCCCAUUCUUGGGAGCUUGACAGUACCAGAGGAAUAAGCACCGGCUAACUCCGUGCCAGCAGCCGCAGUAA
rnacentral:rRNA from 1 species